rnacentral:tRNA from 1 species
CUCCACAUAGGUCUAGUGGGUAGGAUACCACACUCUCACUGUGGUGCCCCGGGUUCGAUUCCCGGUGGAGU